AUGUCCCCCACUAUAGUAGUGGGGGACAUAUUGUUUUUGCCCUGUCUGUUGGUCUGUUGGUCUGUCUGUUGGUCUGUCUGUUUGCGCCAACUUUAACAUUUUGCAAUAACUUUUGCUAUAUUGAAGAUAGCAACUUCAUAUUUGGCAUGCAUGUGUAUCUCAUGAAGCUGCACAUUUUGAGUGGUGAAAGGUCAAGGUCAAGGUCAUCCUUCAAGGUCAGACGUCAAAUAUAUGUGGCCCAAAUCGCUUAUUUUAUAAAUACUUUUGCAAUAUUGAAGAUAGCAUCUUGAUAUUUUGCAUGCAUGUGCAUCUCAUGGAGCUGCACAUUUUGAGUGGUGAAAGGUCAAGGUCAAGGUCAUCCUUCACAAGGUCAAGGUCAUCCUACAAGGUCAAACAUCAUAUAGGGGGACAUUGUGUUUCACAAACACAUCUUGUUGUUACUUGGAUAGUCGGUAGCAAGAUAGACAAGUUAGAGGAAUUUAAUUUAUACCAUUGCCAACGCAGAAAUGUGGUCUUGACAAGUUCGAGUGGAAGCUUCAAUGUGUGGAAUUACCAAAAAAAACCUUAUAGAAAAUUAAUUUAU